rnacentral:misc_RNA from 1 species
AACGCACCUUGCGCUCCUUGGUAUUCCGAGGAGCAUGCCUGUUUGAGUGUCAUGUUAAUCUCAACUCCCUUGUUUCUUAACUCGGGUGUUGGACUUGGAGGUUGCUGGCCCCAUUUGUGGUCGGCUCUUCUUAAAUGCAUUAGCUGGGCUUUGGCUCGCGUUGAACGGUGUAAUAGUAAUUUUACAUUCACCUGAGCGCUUGCCUAACAAGUCUGCUUCUAAUCGUCUUCGGACAAGGCGUUGUCGCCUUCACUUGACAUCUUGACCUCAAAUCAGGUAGGAUUACCCGCUGAACUUAA